rnacentral:lncRNA from 1 species
CAAUUCUCCUGCCUCAGCCUCCCGAGUAGCUGAGAUUACAGGAAAUAAGAAGAUAAAAGAACAAGGCCAACAUCACAAUGAGGAAACAAUCACACAUAUUCAAAAUGUUGGACAUUCUCCAAGAUAACCAGGGUGGAAUAAUCAAUGUCAUUUGAAAAAAUGAGCAGACUAUUUCAUAUCAGAAAAAGACUAUGAAAGAAUAAAGGAAUAUCAUAGCUGUGGUGCUGAGAACAUAACCUACUCCCAUUGGUUUCCAACAACUGAGACCUUGAACAGUGACUUCUUAGCUGUAAAUCCCAGAAUCUUCUGUUUCAAAUCAAUUCUUCAGGAAAAAGAGGACAAAAUAUAAACCCAAGUGGAGAGAGUACUAAAAGACACAAGAUUUUUUUUUAGAGAAUUUAUCAAUCUAAUAUGAGCAAUUAAUUAUUUAUGAUGGUUCCUAUGUUUCACAGAGAAGUUGAAGAAAUAAGAUUAGAACCAUCUUAUGGGCUCUGGGUAAGGCUCUGCAAUCUUUCACCAUUUUUGCUUUAUUUAUUAUACCAAGUAGCAUGACAGAUGUUUGCAAUUUGACUUGAACAUUUUCAUUGUCUUUGCUUUUUUUGUUUCUUUCUUUUUAAAAAUCCAUGGUUUUUUAAUUUCCUUUUCAAUAUUUGCAUCCUUUUAUGGAAUAUAAGAGACCACUUAUAUGCACAAGAGUUAUCUCUUGUGGGUCUCACUAUUAUUAUCAUCAAAAUGCCUGAAAUUACCUGUGAGGGAACAUUAUAAAGUAAAUGAUAAAGAAAUAAUUUAAUGUUACACAUUAGGUAACCUCUAGGAAUAUAUGCUGGAACCAUAGGAAGACAUUGGGCAGGAAGAACAAUAAAAAUAUUUGGAUUGGAAGUAAAAAUGCUAAUCUACUUGUCAGAAAGGUCAUGUCUACAGUCAACAACUGUUCAAAUAGAAGCUUUAAAGCGAGGCUCAGCACACUUUUCUGUAGAGCCAGACAACAAAUAUCUCCGGCUUUGUGGUCCAUAUGGUCGACACUGCAACUACUAGAGUCUGCCAUUGUAGCACGCAAACAGCCAUAGACCAUAUGUGAAUGAAUGGUGUGGCUGUGUUCCAAAAGCCUUAUUUACAAAAACAAGGGAAGUGUUAGACUUCUUCAGAUCUUGGUGUGCUAGUCCUUGCUUUACACAACUAAGAUGAGUGUGAACUAUAUUUCAAAUAGAAGUGAGAGCCCCAAAGGUGGGCAAACCAUUAUAGUAAGAUGGUCAAGUUGCCUAGGCAGGGGCAAUUUAGACAUCUAGACAUCAUAAUUUUGAGUGAGCUAUCAAUUUAUUCAGGCAGGUUUUCUAAGUCUUAGAUUAAAGGGGUAGGUUGGAAUUUAGGGUUAGAUUCUACCUCACUGAGACAAAAUGAUACAAAUAAAAAGUUCAUGACAAGGAUAGAUAAAGACCGUGAACUUACUAGAACAUACUAAGUACAGCUGCUCAUAGCAACAAGGUUUAUUUCAGAUCUUACCUGUUGCUAGCACCAUAUAUUACUCUAACAUGCUUGCUCAAUUUGCUGUCCCAUGGAAAAAAUAAUUGGUUGAGAACUAGUCAGAAGAGUCUUUGUAACUACUUUAAGGACAAAAGUAAUGUUGCUGUUGUGUCCUCAAUAUAUAUAUACAAUAGUGCCUGGAACACAAUAGACAUUUAGUGAUCAUUCCUUGUGUACCUAGAACUUGAUACCUAUUAAAUAUUUUUCUAGUAGAAGUUUGUAAAUUAAUACUACAGGAUUUUUAGCAUUUAUUCUUUUAUAAUAUUAUAUAUAAAAUUUUACUGAUAGACAAUGUCUUCCAGUUCUUUAUACUAUCCUUUGCCACUUUAAUUCAAAAGCAUAUUAAAUUAUAUUUUAUAUUAAAAAUUUAAUUCUAAGAGUAAGAAUUACAGUUAUAAAAAUAUCCCAGGUGAUCAAAGAUAUGGAGCUAUUGCCUAAUGACAGACAUUAUAGUAUAGUGGUGAAUACAGAAAUUUAAUUUUUCAUCUCCUCCUGUCACUCCCUCUUAAGACAUUUUAGGGUCACCCUCCAUGAGGUAGCAGAUUCAUUAGCUUCUACUUUAAAUCCUGCCUCAGAGUAGAAAUCAGUCAGCUCUGUUGAGGGAAUUCCUGAGCAGAAAAAAAUAUCUUUCUAGGACAUUAGAGAGCAAUUGAGUAUUUAAAGAGUCAUUCAAAGAAGAACCUUCAGUAAGCAUUAGAGUAAGCAACUUUACCUAUAUUUUUUAAAAAGGAGAGCUGAGUCAACUCAGGCAAAAGAAAUUGAAUAUGUCAUUUUAAAGAGUCUCAAUAUAACAGAAAUGAAAUGUGUCACUAAUCCACCUUGCCAGCUUAUACAGCUUUUGAGAGUGAAAGACUCUUAGUAAUGACAUUGAUUAUUAUUAAAUGUUAGUAGCUCAGUGUUGUAGAGAAUAUAAACAGCAGUAUUUAUAGACUCUUGGUAAAAUGUAUUUUAACUUUUUAAAGACAUUGCAGAGUUGGCUAUCUUCUCUAACACAACAUAUUGUAGAAUUGUCAUUUAAUAUUUCGUAGAACUAGCUAGAGCAACUAUUCUUUCUUAAGUGGCACAUGUUCAUUUUCUGUAUUUUCCUCAUCUUUACCACCUGCUAGCAGUGUUUCAGGCAACAAAACAGCAGUGUUCUCACCAGACAGUAUAGCCUCCUCCAAAAUGGUAGCAAUCCCAAAGAUUCACAAUAAAACAAAACCUUUAAGACUAUGAUAAAUGGUUUUUAUUUCUUUUUUAAAAACAGUUCUUCCUUUAUUCUUUAAUCUUUAAACACUGAGUUGAAAUGGAUGAUUGAAAAUAUUAUUUGGGGUAUAUUGUUGUACACAUAAGAGAGUAAAUUUUAAGAGCUGAAUUAAAUUUCUCACUCUACCUUUUCUUUCAGUUUAUUUUUAAAUAUAUAUAUUUGUAGAAGCAGUUAUCUGCCAUCCGGAAAUUAAUUCUCAUUUUCUUGGAUUAUUUUAUGGUGACUACUUUCUAAGUAUUUUAUCCUUUAGUGAACAAAUGGUCUUUCUUUCCAGUUAGAAGGUGAUCCUCAAUAAUUAUGUUCUUUUCUUUAACCAAAACCUUGUUUCAAUUAUGACAUUUUGUUGAUAUGUAAAAAUUCUGAAGAAAUAAAAGCAAAAAAUAUUGAAUAAUAA